AUGCCCUAUUGAGCAUCUUAUCCCAUUUUAAAGUUGGUUUAUUCGGCAGCCGCAAAUGCUACUCAUUAUAGGGAUUUUGACAAAGCGAAUUUAUUUAUUACUAAAACCGAAGUCAGUAGGAGUACUAUUAUGAAGAAAUUCAGACCUCGAGCUCGAGGACGUAGUUUCCCCAUAAAAAAAGCAUGUGUCAUAUAA
rnacentral:rRNA from 1 species